rnacentral:rRNA from 1 species
UACGUGGGGCGCAAGCGUUGUCCGGAAUUAUUGGGCGUAAAGAGCUCGUAGGCGGUCUGUCGCGUCGGAUGUGAAAGCCCGGGGCUUAACCCCGGGUCUGCAUUCGAUACGGGCAGACUAGAGUGUGGUAGGGGAGAUCGGAAUUCCUGGUGUAGCGGUGAAAUGCGCAGAUAUCAGGAGGAACACCGGUGGCGAAGGCGGAUCUCUGGGCCAUUACUGACGCUGAGGAGCGAAAGCGUGGGGAGCGAACAGG